GAUGAACGCUGGCGGCGUGCCUAAUACAUGCAAGUCGAGCGAACAGACGAGGAGCUUGCUCCUCUGACGUUAGCGGCGGACGGGUGAGUAACACGUGGAUAACCGACCUAUAAGACUGGGAUAACGUCGGGAAACCGGAUCUAAUACCGGAUAAGAUAUUGAACCGCAUGGUUCAAUAGUGAAAGACGGUUUUGCUGUCACUUAUAGAUGGAUCCGCGCCGCAUUAGCUAGUUGGUAGGGUAACGGCUUACCAAGGCGACGAUGCGUAGCCGACCUGAGAGGGUGAUCGGCCACACUGGAACUGAGACACGGUCCAGACUCCUACGGGAGGCAGCAGUAGGGAAUAUUCCGCAAUGGGCGAAAGCCUGACGGAGCCACGCCGCGUGAGUGAUGAAGGUCUUCGGAUCGUAAAGCUCUGUUAGUAGGGAAGAACAAAAGUGUAAGUAAAUAUGCACGUCUUGACGGUACCUAAUCAAAAAGCCACGGCUAACUACGUG
rnacentral:rRNA from 1 species